rnacentral:lncRNA from 1 species
UUAUUUUGGUAAGAUUGUGAGGAUAUUCACAACUGGUUGCUAUAGUGAUAAUGAGUGGGGUGAGAAGCACAUUGAGAGGGGAUAUCUCUGCAUUCUUGUAUACUUUAUCAUUAUAGUUGAAUCCUAUAAAAUCCCAAAAAAAUGGUAUUUUAGAAGUGGUGGUAAUCUAAAAAUAGUGAGACUCGAUUAUUUUAAUCGACCACAGCAAUGAGG